rnacentral:rRNA from 1 species
AAUUUUGGACAUUGGGGGAAACCCUGAUCCAGUCAUCCCGUGUGUAGGAUGAUGGCCUACGGGUUGUAAAUUACGUUUGGCAGAGAAGAAAAGGUAUCUCCUAAUACGCGCUACUGCUCACGGUAGCUGCAGAUUAAGCACCGGCUCACUACGUGCCAGCAGCCGCGGGAAUACGUAGGGUCCAAGCGUUAAUCGGAAUUACUGGGCGUAAAGCGUGUGUAGGCGGUUCAGAAAGAAAGAUGUGAAAUCCCAGGGCUCAACCUUGGAACUGCAUUUUUAACUGCCGAGCUAGAGUAUGUCAGAGGGGAGUAGAAUUCCACGUGUAGCAGUGAAAUGCGUAGAUAUGUGGAGGAAUACCGAUGGCGAAGGCAGCCCCCUGGGAUAAUACUGACGCUCAGACACGAAAGCGUGGGGAGCAAACA